rnacentral:misc_RNA from 1 species
UUAACGAUUUAUAUUUAUACUCAGACAACAUAAUUAUAGAAGAAUUUAUUAAGGCUACUGGCAGGCACUGACCAAGGGCAUGAAAGCCCCCGGCGGCCCCGAAAGGCGGGCCCGCCAAAGCAACAUGGUAUAGUAAACAAAGGGUUGGAGGUCGGGCCUCUCAAGACCCUAACUCGGUAAUGAUCCUUCCGCAGGUUCACCUACGGAAA